GACGAACGCUGGCGGCGUGCUUAACACAUGCAAGUCGAACGAUGAAGAAAAGAAUUGAAGCUUCGGCAGAAAUUCAUUUCGGAUUAGUGGCAGACGGGUGAGUAACGCGUGAGCAACCUACCUCUUACAAAGGGAUAGCCUCGGGAAACCGGGAUUAAUACCAUAUAACAUUGCGACGAAGCAUUUCGAUGCAAUCAAAGCUACGGCGGUAAGAGAUGGGCUCGCGUCCCAUUAACCAGAUGGUGAGGUAACGGCUCACCAUAGUAACGAUGGGUAACCGGCCUGAGAGGGUGAACGGUCACACUGGAACUGAGACACGGUCCAGACUCCUACGGGAGGCAGCAGUGGGGAAUAUUGCACAAUGGAGGGAACUCUGAUGCAGCGACGCCGCGUGAGUGAUGAAGGAAUUCGUUUCGUAAAACUCUGUUCUAUGGGAAGAAAAUGACUGUACCAUAGGAGAAAGCGCCGGCUAAAUACGUG
rnacentral:rRNA from 1 species